AUGAUCUUCUCCUUCAUGGGAAAUGAUUGAAAGAUGGUUUCGGCUAUCACUUACAGAUGGGCCCGCGGUGCAUUAGCUAGUUGGUGAGGUAACGGCUCACCAAGGCAACGAUGCAUAGCCGACCUGAGAGGGUGAUCGGCCACACUGGGACUGAGACACGGCCCAGACUCCUACGGGAGGCAGCAGUAGGGAAUCUUCCGCAAUGGACGAAAGUCUGACAGARCAACGCCGCGUGAGUGAUGAAGGCUUUCGGGUCGUAAAACUCUGUUGUUAGGGAAGAACAAGUA
rnacentral:rRNA from 1 species